GACGAACGCUGGCGGCGUGCCUAAUACAUGCAAGUCGAGCGAAUCAGUGGGAGCUUGCUCCCUGAGAUUAGCGGCGGACGGGUGAGUAACACGUGGGUAACCUGCCUGUAAGACUGGGAUAACUUCGGGAAACCGGAGCUAAUACCGGAUACGUUCUUUUCUCGCAUGAGGAGAGAUGGAUAGAUGGUUCUGCUAUCACUUACAGAUGGACCCGCGGCGCAUUAGCUAGUUGGUGAGGUAACGGCUCACCAAGGCGACGAUGCGUAGCCGACCUGAGGGGGUGAGCGGCCACACUGGGACUGGGACACGGCCCAGACUCCUACGGGAGGCAGCAGUAGGGAAUCUUCCGCAAUGGACGAAAGUCUGACGGAGCAACGCCGCGUGAGCGAAGAAGGCCUUCGGGUCGUAAAGCUCUGUUGUUAGGGAAGAACAAGUACGAGAGUAACUGCUCGUACCUUGACGGUACCUAACCAGAAAGCCACGGCUAACUACGUGCCAGCAGCCGCCGUAA
rnacentral:rRNA from 1 species